UUCACUACAUCAACCCUCCAAAUCCGGCCA
rnacentral:piRNA from 1 species